rnacentral:rRNA from 1 species
GAUGAACGCUGGCGGCGUGCCUAAUACAUGCAAGUCGAGCGAACGGACGAGAAUCUUGCUGCUCUGAUGUUAGCGGCGGACGGGUGAGUCACGCGUGGAUAACCUACCUAUAAGACUGGUAUAACUUCGGGAAACCGGAUCUAAUACCGGAUAAUAUUUUGAACCGCAUGGUUCAAAGGUAAAAUACGGUCUUUCUGUCACUUAUAGAUGCAUCCCCGCUGUAUUAGCUGGUUGGUAAGGUAACGGCUUACAAAGGCAACGAUGCGUAGACGACCUGGUAGAGUGGUCGGCGGCAUUGGAACUGGAACACGGACAAGAGUCCUACGGGAGGCAGCAGUAGGGAAUCGUCCGCAACAGGCGAAAGCAUGGCGGAGCAACGCCGAGUGAGUGAUGAAGGUCCUGGGAUCGUAAAACUCUGUUACUAGGGAAGAACCGAUGUGUAAGUAGCUGUGCACAUCUUGACGGUAACUAAUCAGAAAGCCACGGCUAACUACGUG